UACAGAGGGUGCAAGCGUUAAUCGGAAUUACUGGGCGUAAAGGGCUCGUAGGCGGCCAACUAAGUCAGACGUGAAAUCCCUCGGCUUAACCGGGGAACUGCAUCUGAUACUGGAUGGCUUGAGUUCGGGAGAGGGAUGCGGAAUUCCAGGUGUAGCGGUGAAAUGCGUAGAUAUCUGGAGGAACACCGGUGGCGAAGGCGGCAUCCUGGACCGACACUGACGCUGAGGAGCGAAAGCCAGGGGAGCAAACGGG
rnacentral:rRNA from 1 species